GGGAGAGUUGUUGGUGAGGCUAAUGCCACUGCUGUUGCUAAUCCGGUUUGAGGCUGUUGCUACUGCUGCGAGUUAGAACGAAGUUGGAGUCACGCCUAACUUUGUGGGUUUCGACUAACUAAGUGACAGGUUCGGAGACUCAGUUUGAAGCCGCGGGCGAUUAGGAGUUUUAUUUAAGUUUAUGUGUUGAGUUGCUUUUAUAGAAUUCCCUCGCCCUUGUUUUUAUUUUAU